GGGGAUGACAGGUUUCGACGGGGACGGCUGUCUCCGGAUUGCAGGCCGAGUUUGGCUCAAACUCGCUAAACAGGGCCAAAACACAGAUGCCGAGCCUCAGCUCGCACUCGCUGCCUAAGAGCUAGCGAUGCCCUCGCGUCGCCCCGCCGACGCGGCGCGGUGGGCAACAUCACAGCCGGCGUGCCGCUGCCGCGACGUCGAUGACGGCGGCGAAAGACCAUCGACUGGCGUGAUCCCCGGCUCGGUCGGGUGAGAUGGGAUCGCGCGAGACACCUGGCAAGCCCGACUAAGCCUGUAGCAUAUCCUGGGACGAACUCUUCGGACGCCGGUUCGAGUCCGGCCAUCUCCACCA
rnacentral:tmRNA from 1 species